CUAUUUUUUUUUUUUUUUUUCAAAAAGUGUGUCUGUAUGUCAAACAUGCGGACACAAUAUUUAUUGCAGCUGUCAGAUGGCAACUCUGACUGUCAGAUGGCAAAUUUUUUUGCUCUUUCUGUCCACAUGUUUGAUAUGCGGACGCACUUUCUUUUCGCAAGUGGGGUCUGGCUGUCAGUGUGGGACCUAUAGUUUUGUCCGAGAGUUGCAAAUGCGGACGCACUAUCUCCAUAAUUUUGUGGGGCCUAGUCUUGUCCGCAUCUUCAAGGUGCGAAUAGCCCCAUUUUCGUAUACUGUUCUUUCUAAGCCCUAUUUCUAUGUUUUGUUUUUUUUUAUAACCCUAUUUUUGUGAAAAACUCCUAGAACUGGAGCCCUAAGAGAGCAGUGGGUUUUGGAGAAAUUUAUGUUUCUGCAGGGAUUAAAAGCCCAAACUGGAAUGAAAUUGAUGCAUCGCUCUAAGAUAUUGAGGUUUAAAUUCCAAAUUAUCAUGCUUCCCCCCCCUCCCUUUGGGGGUUGCAGUAGGAGUACUAUGCCUUUAUUUAUUCUCAGCAGUUGGUUUGUGUCGUAGAAUCCUCAACACAGAUUAUUUCUGUGUAUUCUAGAGUGUCAAAUGGAAGCAAAUGCUUCCAAUUGUUCCAUAUAUACUUUUAUUCUUCAUGAGAUCAUAAAUGGAAGAGAAUAAUGAUUGUGUUAAUUUCUGUGAGUACCUUGGUGUUAAUGUUAACUGCUGAUUAUGAUCAUAGAGGCAAUUGCUUCCAAUAGUUGAAUAGUACAUAUUUCCUUUUUCUAUUUACUAAUACAGUGUAUGGUUGAAUAUAUAUAGUUGUGCCCAUCUCUGAGUACCUUUCUAGUUUUUUUAUGUUCAUACAUGCUGCUGAUUACAGCACACUAUUUAUUUUGUAAUACAAUAUUUACUUUGUGGGUAUAAAUCUUAUUGUAGAUAUCAGAUGGAUUUGGUGACUUAAGGGUGGUUGAUACUUGAUUGUCUAGUGAUUCUCCUGCUUUUGAAGACAAUGGUGUUAUGUACCAUAUGUUAGUGUCUUUUACUGCCCAAAUCUUGCAUAUAAGUUAUUUCAACACGUAAUGAACUUCCAUCUGGUGGGCUGUCCAGGAAGGUGGUGGGCUGUUAAUGCCAACUGCAUUCUUGUUUUUAUAAUUUUAUUGUGAACCAUUGAAGCUUUUGGAAUUGUAAGUGUCAGCUUUAUAGAUCAUGUAGUGUAUUGUUGAUGGUAGUUCCUUAUUACUAGAUUUUUGAAAACGAUAAAGAGCAGAGGCCACAUUUUCUGUAUCCGUGAAGAAGGAUGUUACCUUUUAUGGGAUGUUGUCUCUUGGUGAACCAUUUUCUUUCAAUGAAUCAUUGAAUAUUAGGCAUUGAUUUUUUCAUUUAAAUUGUAGAGGAUUACCAGAAGAUAUGCUACAUUUUUUCAGAGGGCAAGUCUUGACACAAUUGUGAGGGUGUUACACUCAAAAUCAAAGAUCAAGGGUUCAAGUCACGGAAAGAGCCUCUCCAAUAUGGAGAUGAGCUGAAAUGGAAACUUGAUUUCCUAGGUCAAUCAUAUGCUUUUGGCAGAUAUGACAGGAGCUGGAACUUGGAGGAGUGGCGUAUGAAUCCAAGUAAUACUGAGUGAGGAUCUACUGACCUCUCUUCCUCAUAACUCAGUUGCCUGGGACUUGGUAAAGCAAAGGGUUUCCCAAAUUUUCACAGAAAAUGUACCGAACAGCUAUUUUUCAACCGAUUUUUGUUAAGGAAAAUUGGAACGGAAAUGAGAAUUCGAAAGGUCUCAUCUAUGCAAAGCUAAGGAAAGAUGGGAGCCGCCAGCCCUCGCCACUGUUCUCAAGUAUAUGGCUGUCUUCGAAUUGCUGAGGUUGUUUAUUAUACAGUGGGGAUGGUUCCACCAGACCAUGGUAGGCAGAGACGAGGCAAUAUGGCCCAUACGAGAAUUUAUGUGCCCAUCUUCCUCUUGUGACAAUUCUUGUGGGAGCAACCGAAACAAACCUCUCCACAGAGGUUUUGACAAUACUAGUUCAGUAGCUUACCUUGAGAUCAACUUCUCUUUGGCCGCCUUCGGCAAGUCUCAUCACCAGUCUUUUGAUAUGCUGCGUGCUGGCAUAGUCGGAUCAACAUUUUUAGAGUUGUCAAUGGCUGGCUCAGGAUCAUGCCGUAGACGACUGCCAUGACAGUUUGAGCUUAGAUAUCUGCUCAAAGAAUAAAGCUUGACCUUUUUCAAGCUUCUCCUUUCAGGAUCUAUUGAAAGAGAAUCCAGUAUUUCUUGAUCCUAUAUAUCUGAAUAUCUUUGCUUCAGAAGAAAAUUAGACUUCAGGUGAGUUUCACCCAAAGCUUGAAAGUCACCCCAACGCUUUCAUACGAAUUUCUAGCUAAAUUUUUUUGGUGCAAAUGAAUUUACAUAGAAAUUCUUUGGCCGGAAUUAUACUUUUUUGGGACUUGAUAUUUUUCCUUGUUUAGGAAAUAAUUCUUCAUACUGCAAAAAAUGGUACAUGGGCAAAGUUGGGAGAGGUUGGGUUUUUUCCCCUAAUCUAUAAAGAUGGUCUCAUUUGCUCAAA